AUACGGAGGAUCCGAGCGUUAUCCGGAUUUAUUGGGUUUAAAGGGUGCGCAGGCGGCCAUUUAGGUCAGCGGUUAAAUCGUGGGGCUCAACCCCAUUCUGCCGUUGAUACUGGGUGGCUUGAUUGCGGUCGAGGUUGGCGGAAUUCGUUGUGUAGCGGUGAAAUGCAUAGAUAUGACGAAGAACACCGAUUGCGUAGGCAGCUGACCAGACCGCAAAUGACGCUCAUGCACGAAAGUGCGGGGAUCGAACAGGAUUAGAUACCCUGGUAGUCCGCACAGUAAACGAUGAAUACUUGUUUUCGGCGAUAUAAUGUCGGAGGCAAAGCGAAAGCGAUAAGUAUUCCACCUGGGGAGUACGCCGGCAACGGUGAAACUCAAAGGAAUUGACGGG
rnacentral:rRNA from 1 species